rnacentral:rRNA from 1 species
UACGAAGGGGGCUAGCGUUGUUCGGAAUUACUGGGCGUAAAGCGCACGCAGGCGGUUCGAUUAGUCAGAAGUGAAAGCCCCGGGCUCAACCUGGGAAUUGCUUUUGAUACUGUCGAGCUUGAAUCACGGAGAGGGUAGUGGAAUUCCGAGUGUAGAGGUGAAAUUCGUAGAUAUUCGGAAGAACACCAGUGGCGAAGGCGACUACCUGGCCGUCGAUUGACGCUCAUGUGCGAAAGCGUGGGGAGCAAACAGGG